UACGGAGGGUGCGAGCGUUGUUCGGAAUUACUGGGCGUAAAGCGCGUGUAGGCGGCUUCUUAAGUCUGGUGUGAAAGCCCGGGGCUCACCCCCGGAAGGGCAUUGGAUACUGGGAAGCUAGAGUACCGGAGAGGAAGGUGGAAUUCCUGGUGUAGCGGUGAAAUGCGUAGAUAUCAGGAGGAACACCGGUGGCGAAGGCGACCUUCUGGACGGAUACUGACGCUGAGACGCGAAAGCGUGGGGAGCAAACAGG
rnacentral:rRNA from 1 species